AAAGAAUUAGUUAAAAAUAACAUUAGUAUGUCACGCUAAAAUUGUUGGUUUAAUCCAGCAUUCUUUG
rnacentral:tRNA from 1 species